rnacentral:rRNA from 1 species
UCGAACGGGAAUCUUCGGAUUCUAGUGGCGGACGGGUGAGUAACGCGUAAGAAUCUAACUUCAGGACGGGGACAACAGUUGGAAACGACUGCUAAUACCCGAUAUGCCGCAAGGUGAAACCCAAUUGGCCUGGAGAAGAGCUUGCGUCUGAUUAGCUAGUUGGUGGGGUAAGAGCCUACCAAGGCGACGAUCAGUAGCUGGUCUGAGAGGAUGAGCAGCCACACUGGGACUGAGACACGGCCCAGACUCCUACGGGAGGCAGCAGUGGGGAAUUUUCCGCAAUGGGCGAAAGCCUGACGGAGCAACGCCGCGUGAGGGAGGAAGGUCUUUGGAUUGUAGACCUCUUUUCUCAAGGAAGAAGUUCUGACGGUACUUGAGGAAUCAGCCUCGGCUAACUCCGUGCCAGCAGCCGCGGUAAUACGGGGGAGGCAAGCGUUAUCCGGAAUUAUUGGGCGUAAAGCGUCCGCAGGUGGUCAGCCAAGUCUGCCGUCAAAUCAGGUUGCUUAACGACCUAAAGGCGGUGGAAACUGGCAGACUAGAGAGCAGUAGGGGUAGCAGGAAUUCCCAGUGUAGCGGUGAAAUGCGUAGAGAUUGGGAAGAACAUCGGUGGCGAAAGCGUGCUACUGGGCUGUAUCUGACACUCAGGGACGAAAGCUAGGGGAGCGAAAGGGAUUAGAUACCCCUGUAGUCCUAGCCGUAAACGAUGGAUACUAGGCGUGGCUUGUAUCGACCCGAGCCGUGCCGAAGCUAACGCGUUAAGUAUCCCGCCUGGGGAGUACGCACGCAAGUGUGAAACUCAAAGGAAUUGACGGGGGCCCGCACAAGCGGNGG